UUAUGUUUGUUGUUGUUAAGCAGAGCCUGGGCCUUCAUUUUCCAAUUGAUCUUGUUCUUUUUGGUCAACAAUUGUCAGUUCCUAAGGAUAAAAGAUUAUUGUACUCCAAAUCCUUUUACACUGCCAGACUGACUGUGUUGUCGACUGUGGGUCAGCCGUGCUCUGCCCUGGAUUCUGGUCAAUCUUCUCCUUCAAUUCAGAGACAAAUACAUCACUCCUCUUGCAAUCAAACUGCUCUGUGUUUGGCUUGAUCAGGAGUAAGUUCCUUUGUGCUAGACUCCCUGAAUCUCUUGGCUAUAUUGUAAACUUGAGUCGUCUUGUAAUCAAACCAUGCGAGAUCG
rnacentral:lncRNA from 1 species